UCGGCCUUGGACUCUAACGUGGGCCCCUAGGUGACGGGUGGUCAGAGCGACGCGGCCGGUCCUUUUGGGGUGCAAGGCCCUCUCACUGCUGCUCUGAGACCUCGCCGCCUUUCCAGCCCUGCCCCGGGGCGGAGCCGCUGGAAGGUCAGGCCCUGCCGCCACGCCCCGUCCCUCCUCGCCCCGGGGCGGUCUCUGUGCUUGGCCGACUUCAGCCACGUGCCAUUUCCAUGGCGGCCUCACAGCUACCGGGGGAGAUUAACGUUGUGGCGGAAGAGACAGCCAAGACCGGGGAUAAGGCUCUUCUGGGAAACGACUGUCCCGAGCAGGACAGGAUCCCCCAGCGCUCCUGGAGGCAGAAGUGCGCCUCCUACGUGCUGGCGUUGAGGCCCUGGAGCUUCAGUGCCUCCCUUACGCCUGUAGCUCUGGGCAGUGCUCUGGCCUACAGAUUCCAGGGCGUCUUGGAUCUCAGGCUGUUGGUGGGUUGUGCCAUAGCGGUCCUGGCCGUGCACGGGGCCGGCAAUUUGGUCAACACUUACUAUGACUUUUCCAAGGGCAUUGAUCACAAAAAGAGUGAUGACAGGACCCUGGUGGACCGAAUCUUGGAGCCCCAGGAUGUUGUCCGCUUUGGAGUCUUCCUCUACACCUUGGGCUGUGUCUGUGCCGCUUGUCUCUACUACCUGUCCCCUCUGAAACUGGAGCACUUGGCUCUCAUUUACUUUGGAGGCUUGUCUGGCUCCUUUCUCUACACAGGAGGGAUUGGAUUCAAGUACGUGGCUCUGGGAGACCUGAUCAUCCUCAUCACUUUUGGCCCUUUGGCUGUGAUGUUUGCCUACGCCGUCCAAGUGGGGUCCCUGGCCAUCUUCCCCCUGGUCUACGCCAUCCCCCUUGCCCUAAGCACUGAGGCCAUUCUCCAUUCCAACAACACCAGGGACAUGGAGUCCGAUCGGGAGGCUGGCAUUGUCACGCUUGCCAUCCUCAUUGGCCCCACCUUCUCCUACGUGCUCUACAACACACUGCUCUUCCUGCCCUACCUGGUCUUCAGCGUCCUGGCCACGCACUGCAGCAUCAGCCUGGCGCUUCCCCUGCUCACCAUUCCCAUGGCCUUUUCCCUCGAGAGACAGUUCCGAAGCCAAGCUUUCAACAAGCUGCCCCAGAGGACGGCCAAGCUCAACCUCCUGCUGGGACUUUUCUACGUGUUUGGCAUCAUUCUGGCACCAGCAGGCAGUCUGCCCAAACUUUAAGGGCACUAGCAGCUCCCCCCCACAACAUGUCCCCCUUUCUUACGUUGUGUGGAAGUCAGAGCAUCUGCAAAGGGAAUGUGCUUUGACAGUCAUAUUCACUGGUAGAGAAGAUAGAUGCAAGUGGAAACUGAGACGCUGCCUUCGUCCACAUCACAUUUCUCAUCUGAGCAGCGGCCUACCCUUUUCUCGUUCAUCUUUUUUCUAUGAACAGAGCUAUUAAUGCCUCAAAUAUAAGCCAGAGAACUAAAAGAACUUCCAGGUGAAAUACACAUUCUCUUCCUCCCUCUUCCAAAGAGUCCCGCUGCAAGUAUGCCAGUGGUUUUGUGGAUUUCCUAAUCCCCAGAGCACCAGCUCUCUUCUCAGUUCUAUUUAAUUUGGGUUUGUAUAAUAACAAGUGGUGUUUUGGCUACUUGAUCUUAUCUACUUCUGUGUCUGUUUAUAUGACUGACUGUCUCCCGGGUCUGGGCAAGGAGAGAGGUGGACCUGAUAUUGGGAGUAUUUUCCUGUUGAAAUAAAAUCACCUGAGUCACGAAUAAGUAAA